rnacentral:lncRNA from 1 species
GUGUGGACUCCUGGGGAAUAACGCCAGCUGCAGGCCUCCAGCUAGACUCUGCACCACUGAUCACAACACUCUGAGGCCUACCACUCACCCACUGCCGAAUCCACCUCAUCGUCCACUCACCCAGCCCACGCUUUACACACUUGUCUGUGAGGAUAUCAUGGGAGACAGCAUCAAAAGCCUUGCUGAAGUCCAUGUAGACAACAUCCACUGCUCUUCCCUUAUCUAUUCAGCCUGCUGUCCCACCAUAGAAGGCAACUGGGAUGGUCAAGAAUGAUUUCCUCCUGGUGAACCCAUGCUGACUACUUCCGAUCACCUUCUGGUCUUCCACAAGCAGUUAUCUCCUCCAGGUCCAGGCAAAAAAGCUACACUUUCAGCAUCUCAGUGUCAAAGUAGGCCCAGCUUUCAGCUGCUGUUAGCUUCAUUAUCUUCCGUAUGAGAGUUCUCCAAAUAUGAAAAGAAGUCCCAAAAUUAUGUUGUUGAACUCCAAGCAUGGCAGAGCCCUGUGGAAGAGAACAUGAGUGAACGGAAAGAUAUUUAAGGAAGCGUUCUUCAUUUAGAAACUAAUAAUAAUCAUAAAACACCAUAUUUUUCUUCAUUUUCUGUGUUUCUAUCAGUCUUACACAGAACUUUGCCGUGGUGCUAUCAAAUAUCAAAGCUAGAGUUAACUGAGCUGAAUUUCAGACGUAUCAUGCCCAAGUAACUAGUCAAAGCACUGUCCAUUAUACUCAGUGAGAAUAAUUCUGAUGCCCUUUCUCUGUCAAGGGAACAUGGACACUUGCUUCAUAGCAUCCACAGUGCAUGUCCCAGGGCUUAAUGAAAGAAGGUAGGACUCAGAAUUUUGGAUUAUUUAAAAAUACAUAGAAUACAUAUUGAAGUAUAGAUAGCUAUCUAUCAAAUAUAUAAAGUUUGAUCUAGGUCUUACCUGGAUCCAUUUAUUUUCGUUUCUUUGAUUUCUCUAAAAUUGGAAGCUACAUAAAUCUCAGAAGACAGUUGUUCUUCUAUGGACUCUGAAGAACAUCCAGUUUCAUUUAGAGGUAUAAAUUUUGGUGGGGAAGAAUAUACAAGGCAAUAAAAUAUUGUGCGUGAUUAUAAGCUCA